UAAAUCCAACCCCACACAACAACAAGAUGGAGAUGGCUACAUGAGGGUGAGGUCAAGGCGUGAAGCUAGGGAGAAGAAGCGCAAAUGAUGGUGAUAAAAAGUUAUUGGUCACUUGAGAGAGAUGGUGACACCUCUUAUUGUCGAGCACCCAGAAUAGGCGAUCGAGGGUGCGCCUUGCUCUUGCCAUCGUGGCAUCUACGACACUGAUCGAGGAGGUUGGCUGGCUGGUCGUUGGCGAUGGUUGUGAACACACAGACUCACGAACAAUCGCGUCGCGAGCAAAGACUAAUUAAUCGCAGAGUGAAGGGCGAUCUACGACGGUAUGAUCUUUGUUAACAGAGUCGUAGCGAUGAUCUUUGUUAUCCGUCCGGGCUCGUGUAUGUUGUUGGGCACCGGCAAUAGCAGUGGAUGUGCCGGCCACCUGAUGGCAUGGUUGGCUCUCGUCGUGCUUUGUCGAGCAAGACACCUUCAUGCAUGUGCGAUCGAUUAAAACAAUGUCCAUUCAAUUUGACUAGUAUAAUAGCUAAUUAAUAUAAUAUGUCCACUGCUUCUUUAUUAUUAUCAUCUCUUUUUAAAAAAACGGAAGUAAAAUAUGUAUUGCCAAAAUUAAAGAUAAUCUGACAAAUAUAAUGUAAAGUGGAAGAAAGAUGUGCACUCUCUAGUUAAGUAAGUAAUUAUAAGCACUAAUCAUCAUCAAAAGUGGUGGGCGGAGGACGAUCAACUGUUAGUUAAUUUCUCCAUCGUCAGGUAGCAGGGUGUGUAUGGAAAACAAGUUUUUAUGCCCACCGGUAUAUAAGCUGCGCAGCCCAGCUGUCGAACCUUUGUGGUAUUCAAAUUAUAAGAUAUUGUCUUCCAUGAUAAGGAAAAGAAGACAAUCUCCUUGUAAGGAUGAAAUCCGAGAAAAUCUAUAGGGUACCAGUCUUUAACAUUGUUAGGUGCUUCAAGGACAAUCUCAUGAGCAUUUUCAAAGUCCCAUUCAUCAUCAUUAUCAUCUUGUGCAGAUGAACCAGCAAGGUCACGGUCAUGGCGGUUAUAGAUGAUCAUCCAUUCAUCUGGAGUCAAGUCGUGACCACAAUGAUGAAGUUGUGCCAGCAGGGGUUUAAGGCUGAUGCUAGUCUUUAUCAACCACUUCAUAUGAAUUUGUCCAUCACGUCCAUUCAUCUCUUCCUCCAUAAGAGACCAGACUCGAAACUGGGGGUCGCUGUCAUCCUGGGCCCAAUAAAACAACGCACAAUAUACUCCUUUCUCAGAUUUUCCCAAGUAAAAGGUAGCACUCUCAACUAUCUGUUUGCUCCGUAUUGCUGGAAGUCUCAUCAUUUGAUAUGUAUUCCUAUCCUUGGAUAUGGAUAUCCUACAAUUAAUUAAAAUUAAUGAUACCAAAUAUAUUUAUUUAUUAACAACAACAACAACAACAAUAAUAAUAAUAAUAGAUGAUGAUGAAACGCCAUUGAUAUCGAUACCUCAUGACAGAUUCAUUUGAAUAAUGCACAUAGAGUGCACCUCGAAAAUAGACAGCCUUCUGAUUCGAGCCAUGCUCGGAGCGCAGCAUAUCGGCCAUGGUCCCCGUAGGCUCCCCUUGGCGGACCCAGGACCUCUCCUCCCACCUCCAGCUCCUCGACGAGAAGACGUGGGUUCUGAAUGUCGAUGGCGGCCAUUCUUGCUCCUCAAGGUUGAUGGUGAUAUUGUCGGACAUCAAACCACUAUGGCCGCACGAUAACACGGGGAUCAGAAAUACCUCGAAAUGCUCCGGCGACUCGGCCAUGGGGUCGUACACAAGAUUAAAGUCUGUAUACAAGUAAAAUGGGGGGCGGUGCGGCGCUGUCCCGGCCCAAACUGUGGCGACCCCAAGCAUGUUCUCAAUGGAUGGAUCCGGGGCGUUAGGCAGGGCUGCCGAUUGCCGUGUGGCAGGGUUGAGCACCAUGUCACACAGCAACAGUAGACCGUUGCAGUGAUCCACAACCUCAAGAUCUACCCUGAAGUCAAGGCAGGCGCCGGGGAUCCGACGCGCUACCGAUGGCCGUGCGAAAAGAUAUGUCUCCCGAUCGACCGAGGCCAGGCUGAUGCAGUAGAAGGCGUCGAGGCGGAGAGGAAGGAGGUGGCCGGCGCGCAGGAGACGUCGGGCGUCCACGAUGGAGCACAAGUGCUUGGAGACGCAGCGUGACGCCGCUAGGCUGCUGGGCGGGAGGCGGCUCAGGAUUUCCACAAGCAUAUCGUCAGGUAGCUGCUCCUCCAUCUCUUCCCUUCCCUUGAGAAUAUGAUUAUCUCUUCCCUUAAGGAUAUGAUGGUGGUGGAUUGAACGUGUCGAUACAGGUCGAGGAGAAGAUGCGCUGCUAGGUCUCAUCUCUGUAGAUAGAUAGAUAUAUAUAUAUAUAUAUAUACAUAUGGUGAUGAGAUAGAUGAUCGAUGGAAUUGGAUGAGGAUUAGGUCUCUUCGUUUCCGAUCCGCUUGAACAGGCGCCUGAUCCCUUUGCAUGCAUGCACUGAUCGCCGGUAAAACGUUAGUAGAGAUACCGAUUGCAUGCACUGAUCGAUUGCCGGUACAGCUGGUAUAUGUAUCUAGUUUGAUCAGAUCACCCUGCAGGCAGCAAGGAUG
rnacentral:lncRNA from 1 species